GUUCACCAAUCAAGUCAAGACCAACCAAAAGGAAUGAAACUCCUUGGAAUAACAAGAAGUAGAAGUGAAUCCCUUGAGCUGAAAGAAGGCUUCUUGCUGAAGCUGUUAGAAGCAAAAAAGCCAAAGCAAGUUCCUUCAUAUAUAUUCUGUUAUGUUUUUUCUUCUUCUUCUGAGCCACAUUUUCAUUUUCCUCUUGUCUUCUAAUCUCCUCUUUCAUUUCCUCUAAAUCAGGUUCUGAGGACCCUCUCUGAUGCUUUGGUUUCUCGAUCAAUGAAGCUAGGUCGCCCUCGGAUGAACGGCCUGAUUUCUUGGUGACUACCCAUUCGUAUGCACUUCCUAGCUGG
rnacentral:lncRNA from 1 species